UACGUAGGGUGCAAGCGUUAAUCGGAAUUACUGGGCGUAAAGCGCGCGCAGGCGGCUAUCCAAGUCAGUGGUGAAAGCCCGGAGCUCAACUCCGGAACUGCCAUUGAAACUGUUUAGCUUGAGGACGAGAGAGGUGAGUGGAAUUCCCAGUGUAGAGGUGAAAUUCGUAGAUAUUGGGAAGAACACCGGUGGCGAAGGCGGCUCACUGGCUCGUAUCUGACGCUCAGGCGCGACAGCGUGGGGAUCAAACAGG
rnacentral:rRNA from 1 species